UCUAUUUUGUUGAUUUUUUCAAAAAGCCAGCUCCUGUAUUCAUUGAUUUUUUGAAGGGUUUUUCGUGUCUCUAUCUCCUUCAGUUCUGCUUUGAACUUAGUUAUUUCUUGCUUCUGCUAGCUUUUGAAUUUAUUUGCUCUUCAAACUAUACUACAAGGCUAUAGUAACCAAAACAGCAUAGUACUGGUACCAAAACAGAUAUAUAGACCAAUGGAAGAGAGCAGAGGCCUCAGAAAUAACACCACACAUCUACAAACAUCUGACCUUUGGCAAACCUGACACAAACAAGCAAUGGGGAAAAGAUUCUCUAUUUAAUAAAUGUUGUUGUGAAAACUGGCUAGCUAUAUGCAUAAAACUGAAACUGGACCCCGUCCUUACACCUUAUACAAAAAUUAAGUCAAGAUGGAUUAAAGAUUUAAACAUAAGACCUAAAACAAUAAAAAUCCUAGAGGAAUACCUAGGCAAUACCAUUCAGGACAUAGGCAUGGACAAAGAAUUCAUAUCUAAAACACCAAAAGAAAUGGCAACAAAAGCCAAAAAUUGACACAUGGGAUCUAAUUAAACUAAAGCGUUUCUGUGCAGCGAAAGAAACUAUCAUCGGAGUGAACAGGCAAUCUACAGAAUGGGAGAAAAGUUUUGCAGUCUAUCCGUCUGACAAAAGGCUACUAAAUAAUAAUAAUCUACAAAGAACUUAAACAAAUUUACAAUACAAAAACAACACCAUCAAAAAGUGGGUGAAGGAUAUGAAGAGACACUUCUCAAAAGAAGAGAUU
rnacentral:lncRNA from 1 species